GUUCAUCGUUAGUGGGGAGAGCUAGACAAUUUUCUGAGGGAUGUUUUUGGGGACACAGAAAGGAUAUAUGAAGAACACAAGUGGUGUGUGUGUGUGUAUGUGUGAACAAAGCAACAAAGAACACCGCACAAAACGCACGUUUCGUUUUUCAAUAACACAAACCUUUGGCAUUUGGAUCCGAUGAAUGCUGCAAUGAUGUUGCAGAGCUCGCAGGCGGAUGGUUUUCCAUACUGCUUCACGUUCGCUUCACACUUCCGGCAGAUCGCGGACGUGCUGCCCUUGGUCGUUUGCUGGAACUCCGAGCGGCAGUAAGUACACUUGACCACCGGGAACGAACCGCGACAAUCCUACCGGGGAGAGAAAGGAAAACAUUAGUAGCUGCAAGCUUUUCUCGUCGAUCGCGAUCAAGAACGCUCUUUGCUUCGCUCUCUUUCUCGCAUAUACGCUCCCACAAGCACGCACGCACACACACACAACCACGUCCAUGCUAUGACGCUUUCACACAUAGCGAUUUUUUACCACUUGGCAGUGGUGAAAAUUGCAUUGCUCGCGUUUAUGCGUUCGCUGAGGCGUAAUUAAUAAGAAUGCACCUCCCAGCGCUGCCUCCCGUGACACCGUACACAAUGAAAAAUUAAGCAUUUUAACUGAUUCACGUCACACACACACAUCUCAUUAGGAUGCCAUUUUCCUCGAUCCGGUUGGCGUCAUAUUUACUUUCACGUAGUGGUGCCCUUGCCGCACCUGCCUUAACCGCGAGUCCACUGCGUGCCGGAAUCUUUUCGCAAAACGGUUGAUCGUCACAUUUUCACAAGCCAAAACCUCAGCGUUGCUCAAACAAGUGGGCCAACUGUACACCGUCGAAGGAAAACGCAUACGUUACCUUGCAAAGCUGCUGGCCCGGAGACAACUCCUCGAACGGGUGGCGUGAGAAGCAUUUGGAGCAGGCAAACAACAUCACGGCACCGCUCAUCGUUUUUGCCAGGGUCUGCAACCUAAAAAUCACACACGACGAAUAAACGGACGAAA